UAAGCGAAGGGGGCUAGCGUUGCUCGGAAUCACUGGGCGUAAAGCGCACGUAGGCGGCUUUGUAAGUUAGAGGUGAAAGCCCGGAGCUCAACUCCGGAACUGCCUUUAAGACUGCAUCGCUUGAAUCCAGGAGAGGUGAGUGGAAUUCCGAGUGUAGAGGUGAAAUUCGUAGAUAUUCGGAAGAACACCAGUGGCGAAGGCGGCUCACUGGACUGGUAUU
rnacentral:rRNA from 1 species